rnacentral:rRNA from 1 species
AUGAACGCUAGCGGCAGGCCUAACACAUGCAAGUCGAGGGGUAGAAGGAGCUUGCUCCUUUGAGACCGGCGCCCGGGUGCGUAACGCGUAUGCAAUCUACCUUGUACAGGGGAAUAGCCCAGAGAAAUUUGGAUUAAUGCCCCAUAGUAUAUAACCUUCGCAUGUUGGUUAUAUUAAAGUUCCAACGGUACAAGAUGAGCAUGCGUCCCAUUAGUUAGUUGGUAAGGUAACGGCUUACCAAGACGAUGAUGGGUAGGGGUCCUGAGAGGGAGAUCCCCCACACUGGUACUGAGACACGGACCAGACUCCUACGGGAGGCAGCAGUGAGGAAUAUUGGUCAAUGGUCGCAAGACUGAACCAGCCAUGCCGCGUGCAGGAAGACGGUCCUAUGGAUUGUAAACUGCUUUUAUACAGGAAGAAACCCUCCCACGUGUGGGAGCUUGACGGUACUGGAGGAAUAAGGAUCGGCUAACUCCGUG